UACGAAGGGGGCUAGCGUUGCCCGGAAUCACUGGGCGUAAAGGGUGCGUAGGCGGGUCUUUAAGUCAGGGGUGAAAUCCUGGAGCUCAACUCCAGAACUGCCUUUGAUACUGAAGAUCUUGAGUUCGGGAGAGGUGAGUGGAACUGCGAGUGUAGAGGUGAAAUUCGUAGAUAUUCGCAAGAACACCAGUGGCGAAGGCGGCUCACUGGCCCGGUACUGACGCUGAGGUGCGAAAGCGUGGGGAGCAAACAGG
rnacentral:rRNA from 1 species